rnacentral:rRNA from 1 species
GACGUAGGUGGCGAACGUUAUCCGGAAUUAUUGGGCGUAAAGGAUGCGUAGAUGGUGUAGUAAGUUAUCGGUGGCAAAUCAAGGCUCAACCUCGUGGAAGUCGGUAAUACUGCUAUGCUAGAGGAUAGGAGAGGUUAACGGAACUCCCUGUGGAGCGGUGAAAUGCGUAGAUAUAGGGAAGAACACCAAUUAGGCGAAGGCAGUUAACUAUUCUAUUCCUGACAUUGAGGCAUGAAAGCGUGGGGAGCAAAACGG